GACGAACGCUGGCGGCGUGCUUAACACAUGCAAGUCGAACGGAAAGGCCCCCACUUUUUUGGUGGGGGUGCUCGAGUGGCGAACGGGUGAGUAACACGUGGGUGAUCUGCCCUGUACUUCGGGAUAAGCUUGGGAAACUGGGUCUAAUACCGGAUAGGACCAUGGUUUAGUGUCUCAUGGUGGAAAAAUUAUUGUUUUGGUGCAGGAUGAGCUCGCGGCCUAUCAGCUCGUUGGUGGGGUAAUGGCCUACCAAGGCGUCGACGGGUAGCCGGCCUGAGAGGGUGGACGGCCACAUUGGGACUGAGAUACGGCCCAGACUCCUACGGGAGGCAGCAGUGGGGAAUAUUGCACAAUGGGCGCAAGCCUGAUGCAGCGACGCCGCGUGGGGGAUGACGGCCUUCGGGUUGUAAACUCCCUUCGUUAGGGACGAAGCCACACCUUUUUUUGGGUGUGGUGACGGUACCUUUGUUAAGAAGCACCGGCUAACUACGUGCCAGCAGCCGCGGUAAUACGUAGGGUGCGAGCGUUGUCCGGAAUUACUGGGCGUAAAGAGCUCGUAGGUGGUUUGUUGCGUCGUCUGUGAAAUUCCGGGGCUUAACUUCGGGGUGGCAGGCGAUACGGGCAUAACUAGAGUGCUGUAGGGGAGACUGGAAUUCCUGGUGUAGCGGUGGAAUGCGCAGAUAUCAGGAGGAACACCGAUGGCGAAGGCAGGUCUCUGGGCAGUAACUGACGCUGAGGAGCGAAAGCAUGGGGGAGCGAACAGG
rnacentral:rRNA from 1 species